UUAGAUACCCUAUUAUGCUAGUAAGAGCCUAAAUUAUUAUUAGAUAUAUUCUUAAAAUUUAAAGAAUUUGGCGGUAAUUUAGUCUUGUUAGAGGAACCUGUUUUUAAAUCGAUAAACCACGAAGAAUCUUACUCAUUUUAUCAACAGUUUGUAUACCAUCAUUAUCAGAUAAUUUUCUUUUUAAAAACUAAUUAUUAAAAAUUAAAAGUUAAAUAAAAUUAGAUCAAGGUGCAGCUAAUAAAUGAGUUAAAAUGGGUUACAAUAAAAAUUUAUUUAUAACGAAAUAAUAUAUGAAAUUUAAUAUUAAUGAAGGAGGAUUUAAUUGUAUUUAGGUUUAAUAAGCUAAAAAGAUAUAAGCUCUAAAUUAUGUACAUAUCGCCCGUCGCA
rnacentral:rRNA from 1 species